GACGAACGCUGGCGGCGUGCUUAACACAUGCAAGUCGAACGGAAAGGCCCUGCUUUUGUGGGGUGCUCGAGUGGCGAACGGGUGAGUAACACGUGAGUAACCUGCACUUGACUUUGGGAUAACUUCAGGAAACUGGGGCUAAUACCGGAUAGGAGCUCCUGCUGCAUGGUGGGGGUUGGAAAGUUUCGGCGGUUGGGGAUGGACUCGCGGCUUAUCAGCUUGUUGGUGGGGUAGUGGCUUACCAAGGCUUUGACGGGUAGCCGGCCUGAGAGGGUGACCGGCCACAUUGGGACUGAGAUACGGCCCAGACUCCUACGGGAGGCAGCAGUGGGGAAUAUUGCACAAUGGGCGGAAGCCUGAUGCAGCAACGCCGCGUGCGGGAUGACGGCCUUCGGGUUGUAAACCGCUUUCGCCUGUGACGAAGCGUGAGUGACGGUAAUGGGUAAAGAAGCACCGGCUAACUACGUG
rnacentral:rRNA from 1 species